AGGCCCAGUCAGUCGGCCAAUAGACCCGGAACCUGAGGGAUCGGAAUCCUGGUCCACUCCGCAGAGGCCCGAGCGGGCUCGCGAGGGAACGGGUUCUCCGAGUCUGGCCGGUGCUCCCCGAAGGACACCAGCCCAAUGGAGAUGGUCUGCAGGAAUGGCCGGAUGGCAGGCGUGAACUGUGGAGAGACGCGGCUGCGUCACCCACCGCUCAAGAGAGGGAUGGGGACAGGGCAGGAGCGAGGCACAGGGAUGUGCGGGGAAGACACAUUCAUUCAGUAAACGUUUCAUGAGCUCCUACUGUGUGCU
ensembl:lncRNA LIPE-AS1 LIPE antisense RNA 1